CAGGGUAAGCGGAUGAUCGCCCCCCGCCACUUUUUAUAUUUAUCAUAGUUUGAUAUAGAUAUAAAAAGUGGCGGGGGGAGGAAAGUCCGGACUCCAAAGGCGCUUUAGCGCUGAAAAGCGGCAGUGGCUAACGGCCACCAACCCCGCAUUUGCGGGGUAGGGAAAGUGCCACAGAGACAAUACUAGCCGAUGCUUCGCAUCGGAAUUUCUAAUUUCUAAUUCCUAAUUCCUAAUUUCUAAUGAAAGGAAAUAAAAUUUUAGAAACUCUAAUGCGGAGCAUUGGUCAAAGGUGAAAAGUUUUUUGAUGCUUGGGUUAUAAAGGAUAUCCGAUUAACUUAAGCUACGAAAUUCGUUCUCUGGCGACAGAGAGACGUGGUAAACCCUGCCUGGAGCAAGAGCAAACUACCCCCCCAUCACUUUUCAAUAGAUAUUUAUUGAAAAGUGGUGGGGGGUAAUGAAAAGUGGCUCGCUUGAGCCGAUUGGCAACAACCGGCCCAGAUAGAUGAUCAUCCCCCCCACCAUUAUUUGGUGGGGGGACAGAAUCCGGCUUAUAGCUUGCCCUGAUAU
rnacentral:RNase_P_RNA from 1 species